GUUAAAAAGCUCGUAGUUGGAUCUCGGCGAACAGGGGGCGGUUCGUUAUUUGACGGUACUGCCCCAUUUGUUCGUAUUUUUGCAAGAGGGUUGGGGGUCCCCUUUGUUGGGUGUCUCCGGUCGCUUGCAGGUUUACUUUGAAAAAAUUAGAGUGCUCAAAGCAGGCUUACACGCUUGAAUAUUCGUGCAUGGAAUAAUAGAAUAGGAAGUCGUUUCUAUUUUGUUGGUUUUCGGAAAAUGACUUAAUGAUUAAUAGGGACAAUCGGGGGCAUUAGUAUUCAAACGACAGAGGUGAAAUUCUUGGACCGUUUGAAGACUAACUACUGCGAAAGCAUUUGCCAAGAGUGUUUUCAUUAAUCAAGAACGAAAGUUAGAGGUUCGAAGGCGAUCAGAUACCGCCCUAGUUCUAACCAUAAACGAUGCCAGCUAGCGAUCUGCGGGUGUGUAAAAACAAGACCCCGCAGGGAGCUUCCGGGAAACCAAAGCUUGUGGGUUCCGGGGGAAGUAUGGUUGCAAAG
rnacentral:rRNA from 1 species